rnacentral:lncRNA from 1 species
GCGCAGGCGCCCAGAGGCGCACAGGAGACCUCAGGCCCAGACUCCACUCCCCAGCUGUGAAAGGACUGCUGGCCAGACCCCCAAGCUAGCCCGCCAGGCCUCCAUAGAGCUGCCCAGCAUGGCUGCAUCCAGUACCAAGAGUUGGUGGGAGACGGGUGAGGUAUAGGCUCAGUCUGCGGCCAAGACUCCGUCCUGCAAGACUCUUUGGCAGUUGCACUGGGUACUGGCUGAGUUCUGGAAAACAGGAAUGUGAGCAGAGUGCUGCAGAUCUCCUUGUCAGGAGCACCUAAGAACUGGCAUGACUCUACACCCUCUCUCCUUCUGCAAUGACCUCGUGUCAAGAUGGCAGACCCGCAGAGAUGAAUGUGCCUGGAUACCUGAGUCACCAGGUGGAGGAAACUCCCAUUGACAUGCAUCACACUCCACAUAUGAAACCCUUCUUUUUCUGCACUGUCACUGGGGUUAGGGAUUAUUACUCACUGCAACUUAGCCUAGCAUUAAGUUGCUUGACUAAUACAAGUUUCAAUAAAUGUCGCUUCAUUUCCCAUG